ACAGGACAGAAAUAGUUACCACAGCAGAGCAGAAAGUGCAGACACAUCGCCGGCCUUCUUCUAGGUGCUGUUUCCAGUCUGGGAUAGUGCUUUCAUUAUCGCAGCCUUCUGCAUGUUUGCAGAGACACAGCACUGUGUUAAGUGACAGUGGUGUACGCCUUCCUUCUGGUCUUUUCAUCUUCAUUCCUCAUGUGGACAUGGUCACAGGGGAGGUGCAAAAGAUACAAUAAUAACAUCAGCCCUCACUCAGAAGAUCAGUGAUGGUCCUGAAUUAUGAAGGAAUAGAGCAGAAGAAGCCUUAGAAAUUUCAGACCAAAGAAGUGGAAACAACAAGUGCAAUGAGUGCUAACACUGAUUUGGAUGAAUGUUUGCAGAAAGAACAGUUUGAAAUGACAGUGCUUCCAACGGAGCGGUUUUGAUUCUGAAGCAGCAGAAACCCCUGAGGAUGCGAUGACGUGAUGUCCUCUCCAGGUCUCAGAGCAGCUGCCCAGGUCUUGGUGCUCACCCUCUGCUUUCACAGGUCAGUUACACCCUUGGGUUGGUACCAGGAUGGUGGAUGAUGCUUGUCUCCAGACACCAAACAACAUAUUCACAGUGGUGCCAGCAUGACCACCCAUGCAGCAAGCCCCUUACUCUUCAUUUCCCCUGUGGGCUUGCAAAGCAUCACCCAAGCCAAGCAAUGUCACUUCUGCAGUGGCAGCAUCCAUAAUUCUCACUCCAGAGCCACAAAGAAGCUCCCUGCCUUUGCCAAAGGGCUUCAGAGUGUACACGUGGGAUAUCAACGUGUUUGUGUUAAAGGGAGAGUGUUGUCUUUUUUCCAGCUUAUUGAAAAGGGGUAUUUGGGGGCCAUUCUGCUGCUGUGUCAAUGAUGGGAGAGUUCACCUGUUCUUUCCAAAAGAGAAAAAGAAAAACAAACACAAAACCAAACCAUGCCUGUCAUGUCUUUGUCACUGGGGUCCUUUAGUUAAUGUAACAAGACUUGCUUUUAAGGUCAGGCACAAACAUGUUUAUUAGGUAGGCCUGAAAUGUGAUCAACCAUUCAAAGUAUACUAAACUCCCGCUGACUCCUACACUCAGCUGUUGCAGACGGGCUGGGUCCUAAACUGCUCUAAACCAGCUUAAUUCCAUAGGCUUUACUCAGCUCAGGCACUGGCUCCAGAUCUGACCCACAGAGAUGAUUUUUCCACAGCAUCACUGCUACUGAGAAAAACAAAGGUAGUAAGGAGAA